UGGGGAAUUUUGGACAAUGGGCGAAAGCCUGAUCCAGCAAUGCCGCGUGUGUGAAGAAGGCCUUCGGGUUGUAAAGCACUUUUGUCCGGAAAGAAAUCCUUGGCUCUAAUACAGUCGGGGGAUGACGGUACCGGAAGAAUAAGCACCGGCUAACUACGUGCCAGCAGCCGCGGUAAUACGUAGGGUGCAAGCGUUAAUCGGAAUUACUGGGCGUAAAGCGUGCGCAGGCGGUUUGCUAAGACCGAUGUGAAAUCCCCGGGCUCAACCUGGGAACUGCAUUGGUGACUGGCAGGCUAGAGUAUGGCAGAGGGGGGUAGAAUUCCACGUGUAGCAGUGAAAUGCGUAGAGAUGUGGAGGAAUACCGAUGGCGAAGGCAGCCCCCUGGGCCAAUACUGACGCUCAUGCACGAAAGCGUGGGGAGCAAACAGGAUUAGAUACCCUGGUAGUCCACGCCCUAAACGAUGUCAACUAGUUGUGGGAUUCAUUCCUUAGUAACGUAGCUAACGCGUGAAGUUGACCGCCUGGGGAGUACGGUCGCAAGAUUAAAACUCAAAUGAAUUGACGGGGU
rnacentral:rRNA from 1 species